CCACCGCAGAGGGAAAAAAGACGCCCCACGCCCACCGCUAAAACCGUCGCCCCGCACCACAUGCCUACAGGGAUGGUGGCCUAGCGAAGGAGGGGGUGGCCGCACUCAUAGAUGAGGAGGCCAAAGUGCUCGCCGUCAGCUGCCGCAAUUCGGCGCUGGCCGACACGCUGGAGGGGAUCCCCAGCUGCCCAGCACAGAUCGGAUCCCCAUCUAUGGCCGGACGCUUUGACCUCCAGGACAGGCAUGGCAAGUCCCGCAUCCGUGUAUAACACCGUCCUGCUCCCGCCGCGGACGGCGCCACGGCUGCCACCUUUUCGCCGAGUGGAGCGUCGCCGUCAGUGUCGUCUUCGAUUGCCAUCGUCGCCACCGACUCCAUCAAGAACAUCGUGUAUGUGAAGGCCAAGGAGUGCACGGAGGUGGUGUCCAUGGAGGAAUUAGCGGUUAUCCUGGGAAGGCAUUUCACCUCACUGUACCCGCAGAUAGGGAACAUUGCCAUUGGUUUGCAUGAUAUACCAGCUGCGAGGACUUGAGGAAAUCUUGUUAGAGUGGCAACAGUGUUUCGAGAUAGGAAAUAACCAUAGACAAUAUAUAUCCUUGUAUUAUGCAAGAGCAUCAAACUUGAGAGAAGAUGACAUGAAUAAUCUGAUUACAACGCGGUUGCAAGAUGCACAAGAUGGGGACAACGGUGGGGUGAGCAUCAACAAGUAAUUUCUAGGUGUUUCCUAUGUUUCAAAAUUUGCGAGCCUUUCAGGUCGUACUUUUUUUUGUGAUAUAUGUUGUGUAGUUCUUAUUUGUGGUUCCCUUUCAAUUUUUUUCCUUUUUCUUUUGUAAUGUCAAUGGAUGUCAAGUAAUCUAUGUUUGAUUUAUGAUAUAUUUGUAAUGAGAGCUCCAAGAAUCGGUGAGAUUAUGGAGUGUACUCACAUUGAAAAGUGUUACUGAUACUAUAAUGGAUUGUUGCUGGCUAAUUGGUGCAAGGCGUGCAACAGGCGUGGGUCAGGUGAUGAUCGGAUCGGCCGCCCCGGCAGCCAUUGGAUGGCAAAAUUGACGAGACUGGGGGAGGAAGUGGGAACCAAGAAGCGGUGGCGAAAUCAACAUGGAACAUGAUUAUAGUACUCCCUCCAUACGAAAAAGCUUGUCCCUCAAAUGGAUAAGGAAGGUGUGCUGCCAUGGGCACCUUCUUUGUGACAAAGCAGACCGGAACAAGGAAGAGAGAAAUGUGUAGGAGAUCUAUGUGAAAGAGAAAAU